rnacentral:misc_RNA from 1 species
CAUCACAAUGCUGACUGUCGACUUGGCUUUUCUCAUUGAGGGUCAGACUGAGUUGGAGCUUCCAGAACGACUCUUAGGUGCUGUCAGAUUCUCUGAGCUAAACCCUGCUUCUGCUCACUCAUUUGAACCAUNNNNNNNUGGAAGUGCUGAUAGUUUGCAGUCAUCAUUUUCAACACUUUUCUGGAAAUCUAUUGGCCAGGGGUUUUCUCAAUUUCUUAAUCCAGGUGCUCAAGAGGGUGUUUCUACCACUGGCUUGGCCCAUGUUAAUGGAACUUCCAAUCAUGAAGACUGUAGUGAUGAUACAAAGAAAUGGUCAGAAUUGUGAAAAUUAAUUACCUUGGAAAUGUUGUGCAAAUAAAUAUUUAAAUUUCAUUUCAUGUCAUGUUUGGCGCUAUAGAAAUGGAGGUUCAUAGCAUGCUGG